UACCAGCACCCCGAGUGGUCGGGACGAUUAUUGGGCCUAAAGCAUCCGUAGCCGGUUCUACAAGUCUUCCGUUAAAUCCACCUGCUUAACAGAUGGGCUGCGGAGGAUACUAUAGAGCUAGGAGGCGGGAGAGGCAAGCGGUACUUAGUGGGUAGGGGUAAAAUCCGUUGAUCCAUUGAAGACCACCAGUGGCGAAGGCGGCUGACUGGUCCGGUUCUGACGCUGAGGUGCGAAAGCGUGGGGAGCAAACAGG
rnacentral:rRNA from 1 species